rnacentral:antisense_RNA from 1 species
CUUCACCGAGCCCAGCCACAGUGGUUCCUCCGCCGAGCGCGCACGGCCGUAGGUGGCCAGCAGGGCGUGCGCUUC